rnacentral:hammerhead_ribozyme from 1 species
GUCCAGCUGACGAGUCCCAAAUAGGACAAAAGGUGCGUCUUGGGU